UACACUCCUACGGGAGGCAGCAGUAGGGAAUCUUCCACAAUGGGUGCAAACCUGAUGGAGCAAUGCCGCGUGAGUGAAGAAGGUCUUCGGAUCGUAAAGCUCUGUUGUUAGAGAAGAACACGUGCUAGGUAACUACUAGCGCCUUGACGGUAUCUAACCAGAAAGUCACGGCUAACUACGUGCCAGCAGCCGCGGUAAUACGUAGGUGACAAGCGUUGUCCGGAUUUAUUGGGCGUAAAGGGAGCGCAGGCGGUCUGUUUAGUCUAAUGUGAAAGCCCACGGCUUAACCGUGGAACGGCAUUGGAAACUGACAGACUUGAAUGUAGAAGAGGAAAAUGGAAUUCCAAGUGUAGCGGUGGAAUGCGUAGAUAUUUGGAGGAACACCAGUGGCGAAGGCGAUUUUCUGGUCUAACAUUGACGCUGAGGCUCGAAAGCGUGGGGAGCGAACAGGAUUAGAAACCCUUGUAGUCCCAU
rnacentral:rRNA from 1 species